rnacentral:misc_RNA from 1 species
AACGCACAUUGCACCCAUUGGAAUUCCGAUGGGUAUGCCUGUUCGAGCGUCAUUUAAACCUUCAAGCUCCGGCUUGGUAUUGGGCAAUUGCCAGCUAGGGCAUGCCUGAAAAGCAGAGGCGGUCAGUAGCCUUAGGUACAAGCGUAGUGAAAUAAUUUUCGCGAAUGCCUUUGGGGAGAGCCUGCCACAAAGCAAAUAUUUACAAGUGUUUGACCUCGGAUCAGGUAGGGAUACCCGCUGAACUUAA